AGAGUUUGAUUAUGGCUCAGGAUGAACGCUGGCGGCGUGCCUAAUACAUGCAAGUCGAGCGAGAAACUCUUGAUGCGUUUCGGACAAAUCUGUGAAGCGGAAAGCGGCGGACGGGUGAGUAACGCGUAGGCAACCUGCCCUUAGCAGAGGGAUAGCCAUUGGAAACGAUGAUUAAAACCUCAUAACGCCGGACCGGCACAUGCCGGAUCGGCCAAAGAUUUAUCGGCUAAGGGAUGGGCCUGCGUCUGAUUAACUAGUUGGUGAGGUAACGGCCCACCAAGGUGACGAUCAGUAGCCGACCUGAGAGGGUGAUCGGCCACAUUGGAACUGAGACACGGUCCAAACUUCUACGGAAGGCAGCAGUAAGGAAUCUUGCACAAUGGGGGAAACCCUGAUGCAGCCAACGCCGCGUGAGUGAUGACGGCCCUAGGGUUGUAAAGCUCUGAUCUGUGGGAAGAAGAAAGUGACGGUACCACAGGAGAAAGCCCCGGCUAAAUACGUGCCAGCCGCUGC
rnacentral:rRNA from 1 species